rnacentral:rRNA from 1 species
UACGUAGGGGGCAAGCGUUGUCCGGAAUCAUUGGGCGUAAAGAGCGCGUAGGCGGUCCGGUAAGUCCGCUCUGAAAGCCCGGGGCUCAACCCCGGGUCGGCCGUGGCGACUGUUGGGCUGGAGCACUGUAGAGGCGGGCGGAAUUCCGGGUGUAGCGGUGGAAUGCGUAGAGAUCCGGAAGAACACCGGUGGCGAAGGCGGCCCGCUGGGCAGGAAGGUGAGGAGCAAUCCUCGCCGGCUGACGCUGAGGCGCGACAGCGUGGGGAGCAAACAGG